rnacentral:rRNA from 1 species
GACGAACGCUGGCGGCAGGCCUAACACAUGCAAGUCGAACGCGUGGCGGACGGGUGAGUAAUGUCUGGGAAACUGCCCGAUGGAGGGGGAUAACUACUGGAAACGGUCGCUAAUACCGCAAACCAUCGGAUGAGCCCCGAUGGGAUGAGCUAGUAGGUGGGGUAACGGCUAACCUAGGCGACGAUCCCUAUCUGGUAUGAGAGGAUGACCAGCCACACGGGAACUGAGACACGGUCCAGACUCCGACGGGGGGCAGCAGGGGGGAAUAGUGGACAAUGGGCGCAAGCCUGAUGCAGCCAUGCCGCGUGUAUGAAGAAGGCCUUCGGGUUGUAAAGUACUUUCAGCGAGGAGGCGUUACUCGCAGAAGAAGCACCGGCUAACUCCGUGCCAGCCGCCGCGGUAAUUC